AACUCACCUUCCUCUUUCUUCGUCUCCAACUCUCCUCUUUCAGCACCAUCGUUUCCACUCUCUCCAAAUCUCCGUUAUUUUGCAAUAAUCAACCACUCUGAAUCAUUGAUUCCUGCUCUUUAAACCUUCAUUAAUACGAGAUGUAUCCUUCCAUCUCCUUAUUUUUUACUCCUAUAUAAUUCCUCUCGAAACAUUUCUUAAAAAGGCCAACCUAAUUGCUCAAUCAAUUUAGCAGCAACAGGCGCUUCCAAACUGACUUCGCCACUUCACUUUCAUGGUUCUCAUAUGAGAAAUCCAUAAAAACCACAACAUUCAAUGGCUAUGAAAUGGAGCUGCAUCUCAUUGAAGAGCAGGUAUGAAAUAUUAUUUCUAAUGAUAUUAUUAGUUCCCAGAGUCUAAUUCAAUAAUCCCUGCACUACAUGGCAAAGAAACCGUCCAAAUCAACGGGAAAGGCACCGGUGACUCAGUUCUUCAACGACGUCACCCCUCGAUUGGGAUAGUCCGAGAUGCGAUUCCGUCUAAUUCAUUUGUGGGAAGCAAUGAACAAUCAGAGAAGAUUGUGAGAAUCCAUCUGUAGGUUCAAACUUCUCAUUCACACAACUUCCAAUUCUUUCUUUCAUUGUGACUGCAGGAAGGAUCCCAUAACACCCAGUUACAGAAAAUAAAAAGCAAGGAGAGGACAUUGAAACCGCCAGUUGCUGGUCCUAUAUCUCAUGUUCCAAGUGCUUCCGGAAGUUUCAACUUGGGUUCUCAUCUUCCACCUGUGCAUCAUGAAAUGAUGAAAUACUGUUGGGUUUAUACGGUACCGGGUUGAAAUGGCAUUCUCUGAUGCGUCUGACUCUGAUAUGUUUGUGGGUUUUGAUGACGCAGGAAUGGCAGAACCACAUAACUACAACCUUCCAUGUCAAGCUCUCUAGGUUCAACUUUUCAACAAAGCAUCAAUCAUUCACCAUAGCUCGGAUAUUAGAUCAGAACCAACGCCCCCAAUUCCUAAUUUUGAUGUUCAGGUGAUGACACAGUUGAUCGCUCUGAACCGCACUGGCAUUGGUACUUGCUGGUUGAAGGCCACCAAGAAGAGGGUACUGAAUCACAUGCCUCUCUGUUAUACAUGAGAUGCCCUCGGAGGAAUCACCAAGGGUGGAGUUAGGACGCUAUUGCAAGAGACCACAUAAUGGUUUAUCUUCAAGAGUAUGGGAGUUUUAAACACUUUGUGGACUUUGACUGCUGCUCUACUAUCCACGAAAUGCUUGACGUUGAUAUCUGGGAGACUGAGAUAUUGGUUGACAGAUUACGCUGCCCGAAGUUAUUUGACGACUGUCUUUCUUAUCCCCUCCCUGAUUUCUUUCUCAAACAGGCGCAUCAAGGGAUGGGUUUGCCAAUUGUCGUCUCACUGAUCUAUGCUUUGGUCCUCAAAGAUAUUUUUCUCAUAUUUCCAGAAGCUUAGAAGAGAUCUCAAACGUCGGCAGCCAUGGCAAGCACCAAGGUCCAGAGGACUAUCUCCAGCUAAUUGAGACGUUGGAUAAUCUGAAAAUUGCUGUGAAGAGCACUAAGAAGCUUUGUGCUGUUAUUUCCAUAAUCAUUACAGAACAUGGAAUAACAGAGAAAACGACAGCAGAAUCAAAACCAGUUACAGCACGACAUAAUCUAAUUCUCUUACAGACGCCCAUUGCAAUAAGCGUAAGAAACGACGUUAUAAUUCUCUUACAGGCUUAGAUGUUGUGCCACUAAACCUUACCCGAGACGGCAUAUCCCAAACGACAUAAUCUAAUUCUCUUACAGGCUUAGAUGUUGUGCCACUAAACCUUACCCGAGACGGCAUAUCCCAAAUUAUCCAACCAGAAGAGGAAUCUCGCUUAGCUGGUGUUCCUAUCAGUUUCUUGAUGAUAACCACGAUGAGAAAUAUUGAGAUGGGAAUGUCUGUAACUAUGAAACCGGAAGAAACGACGUUAGCUAAGUCAUCAAAUCGAGAUUUACGUUGUUCUUCUCGCCGGUUAUUCACCAGAGCUCCAAUGGGAGGUCAUGGAUGAUUCGUGCUGUCUUCAAGUACCAAACUUUCUCAUUUCUGAUACUAAAAGUUAGUUUGGCCAAUCGGCCUUAGUGUUGUGAGUUCAUUAAGGUGAAAUAGAGAGAGAAGUGAGAUGAAGGAGAAGAGAGUGAGCAAGUGGGGACAAUAUCUAAUAAUGUAAAAGUUUUGGAAUUUUUCAUAGAAAUUAAAAAAUUGUAGCAUUUUUAAUUGUCCUGUUACUCAGCUUUUCAUUUUUGUUCAGAACAACACGUUACUCAGCUUUUCUUCAGAUUUGUAAAUAA